rnacentral:rRNA from 1 species
GGCAAACCCGCGACAGUUCGAGAGCUUCGCGAUUUCGCGAGGCAGUUUGCCCCGUUGGUGCUUUGUAUAGUUGAAACUCAACUCCCUAGAGUUAGAGUGGAAAACUUGGCAAGCACCCUAGGUUAUGAUAAUGCAUUUGCUAUUAGUAGCUCUGGUAGGAGUGGUGGUCUCGGUAUCUUUUGGAAUAAUGAAAUAAAGAUCGAAAAUUUUAGUUACUCUGCUUAUCACAUAGAUGCUCAUGUUACUAUGCCUGGUGCUCCACCAUGGCGGCUCACAGUGAUGUACGGCGAAGCCAAAGUCAGUGAUAGAGGCAAGACUUGA